AGAGUUUGAUCAUGGCUCAGGACGAACGCUGGCGGCGUGCCUAACACAUGCAAGUCGAACGCUCUCCAAUUGGUGGCAACACCGAGGAAGAGGGAGUGGCGAACGGGUGAGUAGCACGUGAGCAACCUGCCCCGAAGACCGGGACAACACCGGGAAACCGGUGCUAAUACCGGAUACCCCCAUCGGAUCGCAUGUUCUGA
rnacentral:rRNA from 1 species